GUAUCAUGGCUCAGAUUGAACGCUGGCGGCAGGCCUAACACAUGCAAGUCGAACGGUAACAGGAAGCAGCUUGCUGCUUUGCUGACGAGUGGCGGACGGGUGAGUAAUGUCUGGGAAACUGCCUGAUGGAGGGGAUAACUACUGGAAACGGUAGCUAAUACCGCAUAACGUCGCAAGACCAAAAGAGGGGGGACCCUUCGGGUCCGUCCUUUAGGCCAUCGGAUGUGCCCAGAUGGGAUUAG
rnacentral:rRNA from 1 species